rnacentral:piRNA from 1 species
UCUGAUCAGUUUCCAACAAAUUCCAGGUAC